AGAUACCCUGCCUUGCUGUGCACCGGUUCAGAUGUUGCCUUGUCAAAGGAGGAAUUGUGUACUUGACAAAGACUCCAGCUUCUUCCCAGCCCUUCUCCAUUAAGAACUAAAGCCACAGAAUAAAAACAGGUGAGAUAAUGCUCCAACCAGGGUUGAAGGCAAAGAGGGGGGACAGUGCUAUGUCGGGACAGAUGUUAGAAUGUUAGGCGUCUUGUGAAGAGGAAGACGAUGAGAACAUCUCUCUCUCCACGCCUGGUGAAUGUUUUUAGAGACUACCUCUAUAAGGUGUUAAGAACUGCUGCAUCUGACCCUUUUCACAGGUAAAACUGGGCCAGGGGAACGAAUGAGGAAAGGGGGGAGUAUGGGUGAUGGUGCUGGGAUGUAAUGUAAUUCU